rnacentral:tRNA from 1 species
CGUGGCCAAGUGGUAAGGCUCUGGACUCUGACUCCAGCAUCACAGGUUCGAAUCCUGUCG